AUAUAAGAACUGUUGGUUUAUUUAUCGGUGGAGCAGCACAACAUUUUCCACAGACAGUUUUCCUGCCCGUUGGCUUGUUUUAACCAGUUUUCUACCAGCAGGCACUGAAAGGACUCUAAUAGUUCGAGUGAAAGCAGCAGUUCCUCCUUAAGGUCAGAGAUUGCAGCAUCUGAGGGCCUCUUCAAAAGAAGACGUAGUUGAUGAAGGCGUUCUGGAGCAGGACCAGAAAGACCACGACCAAGCAGCCUUGAGAUCUUUGGCAGCGUCUCCCUCAGGUCCCUCUCUAUCUCCCCACACAUCCACCAACCACUGGAACACAUCUCCAAAGUUCUGCCGGUCCAGCUCAGCUUCCCCUCAGAAGAAGUGCCGCCACCUGCCAGAUGAAGGAGCCUUUUGAGAUGCAGCUGGCAUCGUGAUUGGACUGUACUUUGGUCUGUUCCAGUCCAGCUUCAGCUCCAGAGACGGCAGGCGGGACGAGUCAACGGAGGCCGGGUGGACGAAGGCAUGCAGCUGAGUACAAUCCAGAAAACAACAGAGGAGGAGUGCAGUGGCCCAGGGCCAGAAAAAACAGAGUAGCAUCGUAUGUCUCUUAGAAAACAUCAUAGUAUAGCCUUUGGUAUGAAAAAACACCAUCAUAUACAUCGUAUAUUGUACAAAUAAGUCAAAGGAAAGAGACAUACAUUGUAGAAUUGUAGUGAUUGUGGGCUGACUGAUUUACUGAUUAUCAGUAUUUUAUUUUUUACUGAUUUACGGUAAUAAAUACAUUUAAAAAUGGUGCUACUUUGGCUCUGAACCUUUAUCUACCUGUGGUCGCUCUGUGUUCUGGAGUGAUUUGAUUGGUUAUACGUAACGAAUAAAACUCCUUUAACGUAACAUCUGAAAACAAACAAAAACGUAUCAACAAAGUUUUCUGUUAGAGUUUGUGUUCUUCUAAGUUUAACUCAAGAUUUUAAAUACUUUCAUUUACUGCAAAUGAAUAUCUACUCCAAAUGUCUCACUAAUAAUCAUUAUCAGCCUUAAAAACCCACAAAACACCCCUCUAUACUCCACCACACUUAGUACAGUCCGGUUCCCCCUUCUAUAAAUCUGCUUGGAAUCUUCCACUUCCUGUUUGUCAAAGUGGCCUUCUACCUGGACAGGUUUUGUUGGAGCUCAUGCAACAAACAUUUUGGGUAACUGCACUUUAAUAUGGAUGGAUGACACUGAAUUAGAGUCUGUUUUAAUGAGACUGAGUUAAGAUGUGUAGCUCUGUCAUUAAAUAGUAAAUUAUUUCUCAGAAUUCACAGAGAAAAGUCUGAAAUGUUUUCUAGGUUAGCAUCCCACAUGUUCUUUGGCUCAGCUAAAGCUAACUCUCUCCAACUUCUGGAUCUCUUGAGUUGCUUGUUAAAUUAUCUUGCUUGAGGUGCUGAAGCUCAGAAAGUCUGUUGAUGUUUGUUCAAAAUAAGCUCGUUCUCAAGUCUUAUCUGAACUGUCCUCUUUUGUUCGAACUUUCCCUAAACUUAAGAGUUAAUGACAGAGCAGCACAUCCAGACUCAGUCUCAUUUAUAUAGAGAUUAAACUUCAGUGUCAUUCGUUGAUGUUAAAGUGCAGUUUUUCAAAUGUUUGUUGCACAUGCUCCCAACCAAACCAGUCC